rnacentral:rRNA from 1 species
CACGUAGGCGGAACAGAAAGUCAGAGGUGAAAUCCCAGGGCUCAACCUUGGAACUGCCUUUGAAACUCCUGUUCUUGAGGUCGAGAGAGGUGAGUGGAAUUCCGAGUGUAGAGGUGAAAUUCGUAGAUAUUCGGAGGAACACCAGUGGCGAAGGCGGCUAACUGGCUCGAUACUGACGCUGAGGUGCGAAAGCGUGGGGAGCAAACA